UACGAAGGGGGCUAGCGUUGCUCGGAAUCACUGGGCGUAAAGCGCACGUAGGCGGCUUUCUAAGUCAGGGGUGAAAUCCUGGAGCUCAACUCCAGAACUGCCUUUGAUACUGGGAAGCUCGAGUCCGGAAGAGGUGAGUGGAACUGCGAGUGUAGAGGUGAAAUUCGUAGAUAUUCGCAAGGACACCAGUGGCGAAGGCGGCUCACUGGUCCGGUACUGACGCUGAGGUGCGAAAGCGUGGGGAGCAAACAGG
rnacentral:rRNA from 1 species